rnacentral:rRNA from 1 species
AUUGAACGCUGGCGGCAUGCUUUACACAUGCAAGUCGAACGGCAGCACGGGCUUCGGCCUGGUGGCGAGUGGCGAACGGGUGAGUAAUGCAUCGGAACGUGCCCAUUUGUGGGGGAUAACUACGCGAAAGCGUGGCUAAUACCGCAUACGCCCUGAGGGGGAAAGGACGGGGGAGUUCUUCGGAACCUCGCGCAAUUGGAGCGGCCGAUGUCAGAUUAGCUUGUUGGUGAGGUAAAGGCUCACCAAGGCGACGAUCUGUAGCGGGUCUGAGAGGAUGAUCCGCCACACUGGGACUGAGACACGGCCCAGACUCCUACGGGAGGCAGCAGUGGGGAAUUUUGGACAAUGGGGGCGAACCCUGAUCCAGCCAUGCCGCGUGAGUGAAGAAGGCCU